rfam:Natronolimnobius baerhuensis strain CGMCC 1.3597 ZB100001, whole genome shotgun sequence.
AAGUAUCUCCGAGUCUUGCCUGCGAUGGGGGAGAUAGGAGUAACGGCUGGUUGGCACAGCCAUCGACGUACCUGUUUGACAAGGAAACUGGCGCAUUCGAGCCUCAAGAACAAGUCACGUCGUAAACCACAAUAUCCCAACCCAGCGGCGCGGUGCCGUGGGAAUCCUCGCGCUUCAGCGCGGGGA